rnacentral:rRNA from 1 species
UACGAAGGGGGCUAGCGUUGCUCGGAAUUACUGGGCGUAAAGGGCGCGUAGGCGGCACUGUUAGUCAGGCGUGAAAUUCCUGGGCUCAACCUGGGGACUGCGCUUGAUACGGCAGAGCUUGAGGAUGGAAGAGGGUCGCGGAAUUCCCAGUGUAGAGGUGAAAUUCGUAGAUAUUGGGAAGAACACCGGUGGCGAAGGCGGCGACCUGGUCCAUUACUGACGCUGAGGCGCGACAGCGUGGGGAGCAAACGAGG